UUUAACGGCCGCGGUAUUCUGACCGUGCAAAGGUAGCGCGAUCACUUGCCCCCUAAUUGAGGGCCUGUACGAAUGGACCCACGAGGGCUUAACUGUCUCCUUUUUCUAAUCAAUGAAAUUGAUUUAUCCGUGCAGAAGCGGGUAUAAAGCUAUAAGACGAGAAGACCCUAUGGAACUUUAGAUACUAACCACUUACCUUAAAGAAAAUAAAUAAAAUUUUAAAUAACCGUAAUUGUUUGAUUAAGUAUUUUCGGUUGGGGUGACCACGGAGAAAAAAGAGCCUCCAAAUGGAAUGGGAUUUUUCCUAAACUCUAGACUUACAUCUCAAAAAUGCAAAAAUUCUGACCACAAGAUCCAGUUUUAAUUCUGAUUAAUGAAACAAGCUACCCUAGGGAUAACAGCGCAAUCCCUUUUAAGAGAACAUAUCGACGAAGGGGUUUACGACCUCGAUGUUGGAUCAGG
rnacentral:rRNA from 1 species